CUUUCCGGUGAUUAUAGCAAGAGGGAAACGCCUGGUUCCAUUCCGAACCCAGAAGCUAAGACUCUUCGCGCCGAUGGUACUGCACUUUUGUGGGUGUGGGAGAGUAGGUCAUCGCCGGUUU
rnacentral:rRNA from 1 species